AUUGAACGCUGGCGGCAGGCUUAACACAUGCAAGUCGAGCGGAGAUGAGGUGCUUGCACCUUAUCUUAGCGGCGGACGGGUGAGUAAUGCUUAGGAAUCUGCCUAUUAGUGGGGGACAACAUUCCGAAAGGAAUGCUAAUACCGCAUACGCCCUACGGGGGAAAGCAGGGGAUCUUCGGACCUUGCGCUAAUAGAUGAGCCUAAGUCGGAUUAGCUAGUUGGUGGGGUGAAGGCCUACCAAGGCGACGAUCUGUAGCGGGUCUGAGAGGAUGAUCCGCCACACUGGGACUGAGACACGGCCCAGACUCCUACGGGAGGCAGCAGUGGGGAAUAUUGGACAAUGGGCGGAAGCCUGAUCCAGCCGUGCCGCGUGUGUGAAGAAGGCCUUUUGGUUGUAAAGCACUUUAAGCGAGGAGGAGGCUACUAGUACUAAUACUACUGGAUAGUGGACGUUACUCGCAGAAUAAGCACCGGCUAACUCUGUGCCAGCCGCCGCAGUAAGAC
rnacentral:rRNA from 1 species